rnacentral:rRNA from 1 species
CAGUCGCCAGGGAAUACGUAGGGUGCAAGCGUUAAUCGGAAUUACUGGGCGUAAAGCGUGCGCAGGCGGUGUUGUAAGACUGAUGUGAAAUCCCCGGGCUCAACCUGGGAACUGCAUUGGUGACUGCAACGCUGGAGUGCGGCAGAGGGGGAUGGAAUUCCGCGUGUAGCAGUGAAAUGCGUAGAUAUGCGGAUGAACACCGAUGGCGAAGGCAAUCCCCUGGGCCUGCACUGACGCUCAUGCACGAAAGCGUGGGGAGCAAACAGGAUUAGAUACCCCCGUAGUCCCUGUCUCUUAUACA